rnacentral:tRNA from 2 species
GGGUAGGUGGCCGAGUGGUUAAAGGCGGCAGACUGUAAAUCUGUUCCGAGAGGUACGGUGGUUCGAAUCCAUCCCUACCCACCA